CAAAAACAUNUCUUUAGAAUUUAAGUCGAGGUCUGACCUGCCCAGNGAUUAAUUUAACGGCCGCGGUAUACUGACCGUGCNAAGGNAGCAUAAUCAUUAGUCUUUUAAUAGAGGGCUGGAAUGAAAGGUUNNNCGAGGAACCGACUGUCUCAUUUUAUUUGUUUUAAAAUUUAAUUUUUUAGUNAAAAAGCUAAAAUNUCNUNGGAAGACGAGAAGACCCUAUAGAUCUUUAUAGAAAUAUAUUUAAUUAUUAUUAUAUAAAUAUAAUUAUUUAUUUUUCUAUUUUGUUGGGGUGACAAAAAUAUAAAUAUAACUUUUUUAUUUAUUUAACAUUGAUUUAUGAAUAUAUGAUCCAUUAUUAGUGAUUAUUAGAUUAAGUUACCUUAGGGAUAACAGCGUAAUCCUCCUCCAGAGUUCAUAUUUACAGGAUGGGCUUGCGACCUCNAUGUUGGAUUAAGAUAAUAAUCAGGUGUAGCCGCUUGAUAUAUAGGUCUGUUCGACCUUUAAAUUCUUACAUGAUCNGAG
rnacentral:rRNA from 1 species